AUUGAACGCUGGCGGCAGGCCUAACACAUGCAAGUCGAGCGGAGCGGCGGACGGGUGAGUAAUGCCUAGGAAUCUGCCUGGUAGUGGGGGAUAACGUCCGGAAACGGGCGCUAAUACCGCAUACUAUCAGAUGAGCCUAGGUCGGAUUAGCUAGUUGGUGGGGUAAAGGCCUACCAAGGCGACGAUCCGUAACUGGUCUGAGAGGAUGAUCAGGCACACUGGACCGUAGACACGGUCCAGACGCCUACGGGAGGCAGCAGUGGGGAAUAUUGGACAAUGGGCGAAAGCCUGAUCCAGCCAUGCCGCGUGGAUGAAGAAGGUCUUAGGGUUGUAAAGCACUUUAAGCUGGGAGGCGUUACCCGCAGAAGAAGCACCGGCUAACUACGUGCCAGCAGCCGCGGUAAUAC
rnacentral:rRNA from 1 species